rnacentral:rRNA from 1 species
AACACGUAUCCAACCUGCCGAUGACUCGGGGAUAGCCUUUCGAAAGAAAGAUUAAUACCCGAUGGCAUAGUUCUUCCGCAUGGUGGAACUAUUAAAGAAUUUCGGUCAUCGAUGGGGAUGCGUUCCAUUAGGUUGUUGGCGGGGUAACGGCCCACCAAGCCUUCGAUGGAUAGGGGUUCUGAGAGGAAGGUCCCCCCACAUUGGAACUGAGACACGGUCCAAACUCCUACGGGAGGCAGCAGUGAGGAAUAUUGGUCAAUGGACGAGAGUCUGAACCAGCCAAGUAGCGUGAAGGAUGACUGCCCUAUGGGUUGUAAACUUCUUUUAUACGGGAAUAAAGUGAGGCACGCGUGCCUUUUUGUAUGUACCGUAUGAAUAAGGAUCGGCUAACUCCGUGCCAGCAGCCGCGGUAAUACGGAGGAUCCGAGCGUUAUCCGGAUUUAUUGGGUUUAAAGGGAGCGUAGGCGGACGCUUAAGUCAGUUGUGAAAGUUUGCGGCUCAACCGUAAAAUUGCAGUUGAUACUGGGUGUCUUGAGUACAGUAGAGGCAGGCGGAAUUCGUGGUGUAGCGGUGAAAUGCUUAGAUAUCACGAAGAACUCCGAUUGCGAAGGCAGCCUGCUGGACUGUAACUGACGCUGAUGCUCGAAAGUGUGGGUAUCAAACAGGAUUAGAUACCCUGGUAGUCCACACAGUAAACGA